rnacentral:rRNA from 1 species
GACCUAAUGGCAGUCGAUUAAUACACGGUUGUUCUGACGGUACCCAAAGCAUAAGCACCGCCUAACUUCGUGCCACGUGCCGCGGUAAUACGAAGGGUGCAAGCGUUACUCGGAAUUACUGGGCGUAAAGCGUGCGUAGGUGGUUGUUUAACUCUGUUGUGAAAGCCCUGGGCUCAACCUGGGAAUUGCAGUGGAUACUGGGGGACUAGAGUGUGGUAGAGGGUAGUGUAAUUCCCGGUGUAGCAGUGAAAUGGGUAGAGAUCGGGAGGAACAUCCAUGCCGAAGGCAGCUACCUGGACCAACACCGGCCCUGAGGCACGAAAGCGUGGGCAGCAAACAGGAUUAGAUACCCUGGUAGGCUACGCCCUAAACGAUGCGAACUGAAUGUUGGUGCAAUUUGGCAACCCAGAAUUGAAGCUAACCCGCUAAGUUUCGCCGCUCGGUUAGUCC